GUCGAGAAUCUUUCACAAUGGGGGCAACCCUGAUGGAGCGACGCCGCGUGGAGGAUAAGGUCUUCGGAUUGUAAACUCCUGUCAUGCGUGAACAAGGUUGCUUGGUUAAUACCUGGGCAAAUUGAUGGUAACGCAAGAGGAAGAGACGGCUAACUCUGUGCCAGCAGCCGCGGUAAUACAGAGGUCUCAAGCGUUGUUCGGAAUCACUGGGCGUAAAGGGUGCGUAGGUGGCGUGGUAAGUCAGAUGUGAAAGCCCGGGGCUCAACCUCGGAACUGCAUCCGAUACUGCCAUGCUAGAGUACUUGAGAGGUGACUAGAAUUCUCGGUGUAGCAGUGAAAUGCGUAGAUAUCGAGAGGAAUACCAAAGGCGUAGGCAGGUCACUGGACAGUUACUGACACUGAGGCACGAAGGCCAGGGGAGCGAACGGGAUUAGAAACCCGAGUAGUCC
rnacentral:rRNA from 1 species